rnacentral:tRNA from 2 species
AUUAGCUCAGCUGGUAGAGCAACUGACUCUUAAUCAGUGGGUCGUGAGUUCGAAUCCUACAUGG